GCCCAUUAAUUUCCUUACAGGCUUUAUCUGUUUGAUGUUUAUUAUGUCAGUUAAGCUCGCCUUUCUUUUUCCCCUUCUUUUUAUUGAUCAUUACUCUUGCCAUAUAUAGCUCAUCGGCAUCUUUUGAGUGGAAGUAAAUUUGAUACUCUUCUCAGGACCCUGUACAUAGCAUCUAAUACUUCAUCUUCGAAACAGAAUGAGCAGCAUUCUUACAUGCACUUAUAAUCUGGAAAGCAAGAAUAAUAUGUCAAAUCUUCUUGUGAUUCAGAUGAAAUGAUGGUGAAAAUAACUUUAAAAAAAAUACCAAACGCUUUCACGUAUCAACUAACAGAAAAAUCAUAGGCAGCAGUCCCCAUUUCAACGAUCCCAGUUCUUCAUGUCUGACUCUUUUGUUUCCACAAUCUUGUAAUCCAAGUUUAUCAGUAUUCCUUAAUCAGUUCCAUUAAGUGACGGAACUCCAUGCCAAUCAACCAGUCCAUCUUUUGGUUGCUCAGUACUUGAUUCUUUUCUAGAAAUACACGCAGCCUGGCAAUGAGUAUUGGAUUAAAAUAAAAU
rnacentral:lncRNA from 1 species